AUUGAACGCUGGCGGCAGGCUUAACACAUGCAAGUCGAGCGAGCGGCGGACGGGUGAGUAAUGUCUGGGAAACUGCCUGAUGGAGGGGGAUAACUACUGGAAAAGGUAGCUAAUACCGCAUACCAUCAGAUGUGCCCAGAUGGGAUUAGCUAGUAGGUGGGGUAAUGGCUCACCUAGGCGACGAUCCAUAGCUGGUCUGAGAGGAUGAUCGGCCACACUGGGACUGAGACACGGUCCAGACUCCUACGGGAGGCAGCAGUGGGGAAUCUUCGGCAAUGGACGCAAGCCUGAUCCAGCCACGCCGCGUGUGUGAAGAAGGCCUUCGGAUUGUAAAACUCUUUUGGCGGGGAGGCGGUACCCACCCAGGAAGCACCGGCUAACUCCGUGCCAGCAGCCGCGGUAAUAC
rnacentral:rRNA from 1 species